rnacentral:misc_RNA from 1 species
UGAGGAUGAUUUGAAUACAAUUUGCAAGGAGAAAGGGAAGAAACAUCACAUGGAUCGGAGAUGUAUUUUGUAGACUAAAUUUUUCCUUAUGCAUAAAUGAGCUACUGGAAAAUCAUUUCGGCUGACAUCAUACACAAAAAAAAACAAAAACUUGAUCCGAAACACAACAUGUUGAACAGUAGGACAUUCAUAGAGUUUGAUCACUGCUACUAUUAGCAACAAUAGGUUGCUUGAACAUGAAUCUCAAGGCUACAAUUUCCGACAAUAGAGAGCAUUAGAAAAUACACUUCAUACACAAACAAACUAAUCACACACAAACUUGUGCUAUAACAGGUAUGACAAACAGAGACAUUAGGAAGGGAUAAAAUCGACAAAGAAUUCAUAACGUACUUUUGAAAACUUUACCCUGUUCCUAAAACAACAUUAACUAACAAAUGAAUUAAGAUCAAAAGGAAAUUUACCUUUUUCGGUGCAGCGAGCUUAACCAUGAAACUUUCACCACCACACGAGGGAUUCAAGCAAAAUUGAACAACUAACACG